AUGCUUCACCUGCAGAGCUUUGUAUUUUUCCUCCAUGGCUUGGAGUUUGCUCUGCAGGUCUCUCUGCUCUACGGGCUCUUGUUUCUUGUCUUGGAGGAUCUCUUUAUUUUUCUCCAGAGCUUCAUCGAGUAUUACUUGCAAGCCUUCAUUUUGUUUCUCGAUGUUCCUCAGCUUGCAAUCCAUUUCUUCCUUUUGUAUUUUCUGUUGGUCUUUCUCGUGAAGCAACUCUUUAUUUUUGAGCAGUGUUUCCUCAAGAGUUAUUUGGAGCAUUUUGCAUUUUUCCUCCAAGACUUCAAACUUGCGGUCCGUUUCUUUCUCGAGCAUUCCUUGUUGCUCUCUCUCUUGAACGAACUCUUUAUUUCUGUGCACUUUUUUAUCGAGCCUGACUUGAAGCAAUCUGUGUUUUUCCUCCAUCUCGUCAAGCUUGGAGUCCAUUUCUUUCUGUUUCAUCUCCAUUUGCUUCUUGUCUUGAAGCAACUGUUGACUUUUGCGCAGAGUUUUGUCAUGCUUCACCUGCAGAGCUUUGUAUUUUUCCUCCAUGGCUUGGAGUUUGCUCUGCAGGUCUCUCUGCUCUACGGGCUCUUGUUUCUUGUCUUGGAGGAUCUCUUUAUUUUUCUCCAGAGCUUCUUCAAGCAUUACUUGCAAGCCUUCAUUUUGCUUCUCGAUGUUCCUCAGCUUGCAAUCCAUUUCUUCCUUUUGUAUUUUCUGUUGGUCUUUCUCGUGAAGCAACUCUUUAUUUUUGAGCAGUGUUUCCUCAAGAGUUAUUUGGAGCAUUUUGCAUUUUUCCUCCAAGACUUCAAACUUGCGGUCCGUUUCUUUCUCGAGCAUUCCUUGUUGCUCUCUCUCUUGAACGAACUCUUUAUUUCUGUGCACUUUUUUAUCAAGCCUGACUUGAAGCAAUCUGUGUUUUUCCUCCAUCUCGUCAAGCUUGGAGUCCAUUUCCUUCUGUUUCAUUUCCAUUUGCUUCUUGUCUUGAAGCAACUGUUGACUUUUGUGCAGAGUUUUGUCAUGCUUCACCUGCAGAGCUUUGUAUUUUUUCUCCAUGGCUUGGAGUUUGCUCUGCAGGUCUCUCUGCUCUACGGGCUCUUGUUUCUUGUCUUGGAGGAUCUCUUUAUUUUUCUCCAGAGCUUCAUCGAGUAUUACUUGCAAGCCUUCAUUUUGUUUCUCGAGGUUCCUCAGCUUGCAAUCCAUUUCUUCCUUUUGUAUUUUCUGUUGGUCUUUCUCGUGAAGCAACUCUUUAUUUUUGAGCAGUGUUUCCUCAAGAGUUAUUUGGAGCAUUUUGCAUUUUUCCUCCAAGACUUCAAACUUGCGGUCCGUUUCUUUCUCGAGCAUUCCUUGUUGCUCUCUCUCUUGAACGAACUCUUUAUUUCUGUGCACUUUUUUAUCGAGCCUGACUUGAAGCAAUCUGUGUUUUUCCUCCAUCUCGUCAAGCUUGGAGUCCAUUUCUUUCUGUUUCAUUUCCAUUUGCUUCUUGUCUUGAAGCAACUGUUGACUUUUGCGCAGAGUUUUGUCAUGCUUCACCUGCAGAGCUUUGUAUUUUUCCUCCAUGGCUUGGAGUUUGCUCUGCAGGUCUCUCUGCUCUACGGGCUCUUGUUUCUUGUCUUGGAGGAUCUCCUUAUUUCUCUCCAGAGCUUCUUCAAGCAUUACUUGCAAGCCUUCAUUUUGCUUCUCGAUGUUCCUCAGCUUGCAAUCCAUUUCUUCCUUUUGUAUUUUCUGUUGGUCUAUCUUGUGAAGAAACUCUUUAUUUCUCUCCAGAGCUUCAUCAAGCAUUACUUGCAAGCCUUCAUUCUGUUUCUUGAUGUACCUCAGCUUGCAGUCCAUUUCUUCCUUUUGUUUUUUCUGUUGGUCUUUCUUGUGAAGAAACUCUUUAUUUCUCUCCAGAGCUUCAUCAAGCAUUACUUGCAAGCCUUCAUUUUGUUUCUCGAUGUUCCUCAGCUUGCAAUCCAUUUCUUCCUUUUGUAUUUUCUGUUGGUCUUUCUCAUGAAGCAUCUCUUUAUUUUUGAGCAGUGUUUCCUCAUGAGUUAUUUGCAGCAUUUUCAGUUUUUCCUCCAAGACUUCAAGCUUGGAGUCUGUUUCUUUCUCGAGCAUUUCUUGUUGCUCUCUCUCUUGAAUGAACUCUUUGUUUUUGUGCACUGUUUUCUCAAGCUUGAUUUGGAGCAAUCUGUGUUUUUCCUCCAUCUCGUCAAGCUUGGAGUCCAUUUCUUUCUGUUUCAUUUCCAUUUGCUUCUUGUCUUGAAGCAACUGUUGACUUUUGUGCAGAGUUUUAUCACGUUUCACCUGCAGCGCUUUGUAUUUUUCCUCCAUGGCUUGGAGUUUGCUCUGCAGGUCUCUCUGCUGUGUGGACUGUUGCUUCUCUUCUUGGUGGAUUUCUUCCAGUUUUUCCAGAGCUUCGUCAAGCUUCUCUUGGAGCUCCUGAUUCUUCUUGACCAUGUUUUCCUGUUUUAUGCUCUCUUUUUUCUCCUUUUGGAGCAGAUCUUGAAUUUUUUCCAGAGCUCCAUCAAGCUUUUCUUGGAGCUUGUGAUUCUUCUUAUCUUGGAGAGCCCAUUGUUUCUCCUCAAUAAUACUUUUCCUUUCCUGAAGCUGGUAGGAUAA
ensembl:lncRNA